rnacentral:rRNA from 1 species
UACGUAGGGGGCAAGCGUUGUCCGGAAUCAUUGGGCGUAAAGCGCGCGUAGGCGGCCCGGUAAGUCCGCUGUGAAAGCCCAGGGCUCAACCCUGGAAAGCCGGUGGAUACUGUCGGGCUAGAGUGCGGAAGAGGCGAGUGGAAUUCCUGGUGUAGCGGUGAAAUGCGCAGAUAUCAGGAGGAACACCGAUUGCGAAGGCAGCUCGCUGGGACGUCACUGACGCUGAGACGCGAAAGCGUGGGGAGCAAACAGG